GCGGCAGGCCUAACACAUGCAAGUCGAACGGUAGCACAGAGNAGCUUGCUCCUUGGGUGACGAGUGGCGGACGGGUGAGUAAUNCCUGGGAAACUGCCNNGAUGGAGGGGGAUAACUACUGGAAACGGUAGCUAAUACCGCAUAACGUCUUCGGACCAAAGUGGGGGACCUUCGGGCCUCACACCAUCGGAUGUGNCCAGGUGGGAUUAGCUAGUAGGUGGGGUAAUGGCUCACNUAGGCGACGAUCCCUAGCUGGUCUGAGAGGAUGNCCAGCCACACUGGAACUGAGACACGGUCCAGACUCCUACGGGAGGCAGCAGUGGGGAAUAUUGCACAAUGGGCGCAAGCCUGAUGCAGCCAUGCCGCGUGUAUGAAGAAGGCCUUCGGGUUGUAAAGUACUUUCAGUGGGGAGGAAGGCGAUGAGGUUAAUAACCUCGUCGAUUGACGUUACCCGCAGAAGAAGCACCGGCUAACUCCGUGCCAGCAGCCGCGGUAAUACGGAGGGUGCAAGCGUUAAUCGGAAUUACUGGGCGUAAAGCGCACGCAGGCGGUCUGUCAAGUCGGAUGUGAAAUCCCCGGGCUCAACCUGGGAACUGCAUUCGAAACUGGCAGACUAGAGUCUUGUAGAGGGGGGUAGAAUUCCAGGUGUAGCGGUGAAAUGCGUAGAGAUCUGGAGGAAUACCGGUGGCGAAGGCGGCCCCCUGGACAAAGACUGACGCUCAGGUGCGAAAGCGUGGGGAGCAAACAGGAUUAGAUUCCCUGGUAGUCCCCGCCGUAACCGAUGUCGACUUGGAGGUUGUGCCCUUGAGGCGUGGCUUCCGGAGCUA
rnacentral:rRNA from 1 species